rnacentral:rRNA from 1 species
UACGAAGGGGGCGAGCGUUGUUCGGAAUUACUGGGCGUAAAGGGCGCGCAGGCGGUUCUUCAAGUCAGAUGUGAAAGCCCCGGGCUCAACCUGGGAAUAGCAUUUGGGACUGGGGAACUAGAGUUCGGGAGAGGUGGGUGGAAUUCCCAGUGUAGAGGUGAAAUUCGUAGAUAUUGGGUGGAACACCGGUGGCGAAGGCGGCCAUCUGGGCAACAACGUGACGCGUGAGGCG